GACGUAGGGCGCGAGCGUUGUCCGGAUUUAUUGGGCGUAAAGAGCUCGUAGGCGGCCUGUCGCGUCCGCUGUGAAAUCCCGGGGCUCAACUUCGGGCUUGCGGUCGAUACGGGCGGGCUAGAGUUCGGUAGGGGAGACUGGAAUUCCUGGUGUAGCGGUGAAAUGCGCAGAUAUCAGGAGGAACACCGGUGGCGAAGGCGGGUCUCUGGGCCGAUACUGACGCUGAGGAGCGAAAGCGUGGGGAGCGAACAGG
rnacentral:rRNA from 1 species